rnacentral:rRNA from 1 species
CACGUAGGCGGGUCGUUAAGUCGGGGUGAAAUCCCAGAGCUCAACUCUGGAACUGCCUUCGAUACUGGCGAUCUUCGAGUCCGGGAGAGGUGAGUGGAACUCCGAGUGUAGAGGUGAAAUUCGUAGAUAUUCGGAAGAACACCAGUGGCGAAGGCGGCUCACUGGCCCGGUACUGACGCUGAGGUGCGAAAGCGUGGGGAGCAAACA